rnacentral:tRNA from 1 species
GGGGAUUUAGCUCAGUGGUAGAGCACUCGCCUAGCAAGCGCGAGGCCCUGGGUUCAGUCCCCAGCUCCG